CCUACGGGAGGCAGCAGUGGGGAAUAUUUCUCAAUGGGCGAAAGCCUGACGCAGCGACGCCGCGUGAGGGAUGAAGGUCUUCUGAUCGUAAACCUCUGUCAGCAGGGAAGAACGGUCACUGUGCUAAUCAGCCGUGAAUUGACGGUACCUGCAACGGAAGCACCGGCUAACUCCGUGCCAGCAGCCGCGGUAAUACGGAGGGUGCGAGCGUUAAUCGGAAUUACUGGGCGUAAAGCGCUCGUAGGCGGUAUGUGAAGUCAAGGGUGAAAUCCCCGCGCUCAACGUGGGAACUGCCUUUGAAACUGGCAAACUGGAGUGUGUGAGAGGAGAGUGGAAUUCCAGGUGUAGGAGUGAAAUCCGUAGAUAUCUGGAGGAACAUCAGUGGCGAAGGCGACUAUCUGGCACAUAACUGACGCUGAGGAGCGAAAGCGUGGGUAGCAAACAGGAGUAGAUACCCCUGUAGUC
rnacentral:rRNA from 1 species